AUUGAACGCUGGCGGCAGGCCUAACACAUGCAAGUCGAGCGAGCGGCGGACGGGUGAGUAAUGUAUGGGGACUGCCCGAUAGAGGGGGUUAACUCAGGGAAACGGUGGUUAUUAACGAAUACUAUCGGAUAACCCAUAUGGGAUUAGUUAGUAGGUGGGGUAAAGGCUCACUUAGGCGACGUGCUCUAGCUGGUCUGAGAGGAUGAUCAGCAACACGGGGACUGAGACACGGCCCAGACUCCUACGGAGGCAGCAGUGGGGAAUAUUGCACAAUGGGCGCAAGCCUGAUGCAGCCAUGCCGCGUGUAUGAAGAAGGCCUUAGGGUUGUAAAGUACUUUCAGCGGGGAGGCGUUACCCGCAGAAGAAGCACCGGCUAACUCCGUGCCAGCAGCCGCGGUAAUAC
rnacentral:rRNA from 1 species